GACGAACGCUGGCGGCGUGCUUAACACAUGCACGUCGAACGGAAAGGCCUGUCCUUCCUUGUGUUGGACGGGUACUCGAGUGGCGAACGGGUGAGUAACACGUGAGUGAUCUGCCCCCAACUUGGGUAUAAGCCUGGGAAACUGGGUCUAAUUCCCGAUAGGACUGCAGGGUGGUGCCUGUGGUGGAAAACGAUUUUCUAGUGGUUGGGGAUGAGCUCGCGGCCUAUCAGCUUGUUGGUGGGGUAAUGGCCUACCAAGGCGGCGACGGGUAGCCGGCCUGAGAGGGUGGACGGCCACAUUGGGACUGAGAUACGGCCCAGACUCCUACGGGAGGCAGCAGUGGGGAAUAUUGCACAAUGGGCGGAAGCCUGAUGCAGCGACGCCGCGUGGGGGAUGACGGCCUUCGGGUUGUAAACUCCUUUCGACCGCGAGGAAGCCGCCUGGUUGGAAGGGUGGUGACGGUAGUGGUAGAAGAAGCACCGGCUAACUACGUG
rnacentral:rRNA from 1 species